GACGAACGCUGGCGGCGCGCUUAACACAUGCAAGUCGAACGGAAAGGCCUGCUAUCCCUUGUGGAUUGCGGGUACUCGAGUGGCGAACGGGUGAGUAACACGUGAGUGAUCUGCCCCCAACUUGGGUAUAAGCCUGGGAAACUGGGUCUAAUUCCCGAUAGGACUGCAGGGUGGUGCCUGUGGUGGAAAACGAUUUUCUAGUGGUUGGGGAUGAGCUCGCGGCCUAUCAGCUUGUUGGUGGGGUAAUGGCCUACCAAGGCGGCGACGGGUAGCCGGCCUGGGAGGGUGGACGGCCACAUUGGGACUGAGAUACGGCCCAGACUCCUACGGGAGGCAGCAGUGGGGAAUAGUGCACAAUGGGCGGAAGCCUGAUGCAGCGACGCCGCGUGGGGGAUGACGGCCUUCGGGUUGUAAACUCCUUUCGACCGCGAGGAAGCCACCUGGUUGGAAGGGUGGUGACGGUAGUGGUAGAAGAAGCACCGGCUAACUACGUG
rnacentral:rRNA from 1 species